rnacentral:rRNA from 1 species
UAGAGUUUGAUCCUGGCUCAGGAUGAACGCUAGCGGCAGGCUUAACACAUGCAAGUCGAGGGGCAUCGGGAGGGAAGCUUGCUUUCCUUGCCGGCGACCGGCGCACGGGUGAGUAACACGUAUGCAACCUGCCCUCUUCAGGGGGACAACCUUCCGAAAGAGAGGCUAAUCCCGCGUAUAUCGGUUUCGGGCAUCCGAGAUCGAGGAAAGAUUCAUCGGAAGAGGAUGGGCAUGCGGCGCAUUAGCUUGACGGCGGGGUAACGGCCCACCGUGGCGACGAUGCGUAGGGGUUCUGAGAGGAAGGUCCCCCACACUGGUACUGAGACACGGACCAGACUCCUACGGGAGGCAGCAGUGAGGAAUAUUGGUCAAUGGGAGAGAUCCUGAACCAGCCAAGCCGCGUGAGGGAAGACGGCCCUAUGGGUUGUAAACCUCUUUUGUCGGAGAACAAAACCCGGGACGUGUCCCGGACUGCGUGUAUCCGAAGAAAAAGCAUCGGCUAACUCCGUGCCAGCAGCCGCGGUAAUACGGAGGAUGCGAGCGUUAUCCGGAUUUAUUGGGUUUAAAGGGUGCGUAGGCGGUCCGUUAAGUCAGCGGUAAAAUUGCGGGGCUCAACCCCGUCGAGCCGUUGAAACUGGCAGACUUGAGUUGGCGAGAAGUACGCGGAAUGCGCGGUGUAGCGGUGAAAUGCAUAGAUAUCGCGCAGAACUCCGAUUGCGAAGGCAGCGUACCGGCGCCACACUGACGCUGAGGCACGAAAGCGUGGGGAUCGAACAGGAUUAGAUACCCUGGU